rnacentral:hammerhead_ribozyme from 1 species
AUCCAGCUAACGAGUCUCAAACAGGACGAAAUGCGUGUCCUAGAU